ensembl:misc_RNA 7SK 7SK RNA
AGAUGUGUCGGUGAAGUGGCUGCGACAUCUGUCACCCCAUUGAUCUCUAGGACUGACUCAGCUGAUCUGGCUGGGGAGGGGGGGGUCCCCUUCCUCCCUCACCACUCCAUGCGCGUCCCUCUCAAAGCUGCUGAUAACCUGCCCUGAAUAGAAAUAGUGCCGGUCUUCAGAUGACGGUAUAUGAGUAGCUGAGCUCCCCUGCUAUCACCUUCAUAUAAGCUUUAAAAGCAAGAAGCAGGGAGUCAAGUGGUGGCGCAGCGGGUUAAACGCAGGUGGCAUGAAGC